rfam:Lactobacillus brevis subsp. gravesensis ATCC 27305 genomic scaffold SCAFFOLD3, whole genome shotgun sequence.
AAUAGAAGCUGUUAGGUGAGGCUCCUAUGUGAAAAAUGCUACUGCUCAGAAACGUCGAAAAACGCCAAUGAGUCAGCUGUUCUAGUCAAAGUAAGGCUUGAACUAACGUAGCUGUUAUUGAAUAACUACAUCACAUAGUGCUAAAGCUCAACGACUGGCUAAAGCU